rnacentral:lncRNA from 1 species
UCGUUUCGGGGUCCGAACACGGCUUCACAGUGCGCCUGCAGGCUGUCCCUAAUUUUCCCUGAAUUUUUCCCGGGGAACUGAAACGCACUACUGGUACCUGCAUGUGUUCCAAAAAAAUCCCAAAUUAGGCCCAAGGCCCCUUUCGGCCAAUAUCGCAACUCCGGCACGGCGGCUCCGCCGUGCUCCGGCGACGGUGCCGCCGCUUGCGGCGGCGGUUCGC